rnacentral:rRNA from 1 species
AUUGAACGCUGGCGGCAUGCUUUACACAUGCAAGUCGAACGGUAACAGGCCUUCGGGUGCUGACGAGUGGCGAACGGGUGAGUAAUGCAUCGGAACGUACCCAGAGGUGGGGGAUAACGCAGCGAAAGCUGUGCUAAUACUGCAUGUGAUCUGAGGAUGAAAGCGGGGGACCGAGCAGCAAUGCUUGGCCUCGCGCCUUUGGAGCGGCCGAUGUCGGAUUAGCUAGUUGGUGGGGUAAAGGCCUACCAAGGCGACGAUCCGUAGCUGGUCUGAGAGGACGACCAGCCACACUGGGACUGAGACACGGCCCAGACUCCUACGGGAGGCAGCAGUGGGGAAUUUUGGACAAUGGGCGCAAGCCUGAUCCAGCAAUGCCGCGUGCGGGAAGAAGGCCUUCGGGUUGUAAACAGCUUUUGGCAGGAACGAAACGGUGUCCGCUAAUACCGGGCGCUAAUGACGGUACCUGCAGAAUAAGCACCGGCUAACUACGUG